UUCCGGUUGAUCCUGCCGGAGGCUACCGCUAUUGGAGUUCGAUUAAGCCAUGCGAGUCGCGAGUCUUCAAGGACUCGGCGUACCGCUCAGUAACACGUGGGUAACCUGCCCUAUGCUGGGGGAUAACCUCGGGAAACUGAGAAUAAUACCCCAUAGUUCACCACGCCUGGAACGGUGGGUGGAUGAAAGCUCCGGCGGCAUAGGAUGGGCCUGCGGCGUAUCAGGUUGUAGGGGGUGUAAUGUACCCUCUAGCCAUCUACGCGUACGGGUGUUGGGAGACAUCGCCCGGAGAUGGAUUCUGAGACACGAAUCCAGACCCUACGGGGUGCAGCAGGCGCGAAAACUUGGCAAUGCGAGCAAUCGUGACCAGGGAACUCCAAGUGCAUCGGGUAAGACCGAUGCUUUUCUUGACUCUUCAAAGGUCUUGGAAUAAGGGGUGGGUAAGGACGGUGCCAGCCGCCGCGGUAAUACCGGCGCCUCAAGUGGUAGUCGCUUUUAUUGGGCCUAAAACGUCCGUAGCCGGUUUGGUACAUUCGUGGGUAAAUCAAGGCGCUCAACGUCUUGAAUUCUGCGAGCACGGCCAGACUUGGGACCGGGUGAGGUGUGGGGUACUCUCAGGGUAGGGGUAAAAUCCUGUCAUCCUGAGAGGACCACCUGUUGCGAAGGCGCCACACUAGAACGGAUCCGACGGUCAGGGACGAAGCCUAGGGGCACGAACCGGAUUAGAUACCCGGGUAGUCCUAGGUGUAAACGCUGUGGACUUGAUGUUGGGAGUGCUCCGAGCACCCUCAGUGUCGAAGCGAAGGUGAUAAGUCCACUGCCUGGGGAGUACGGUCGCAAGGCUGAAACUUAAAGGAAUUGGCGGGGGAGCACUGCAACCUGAGGAUUGUGCGGUUUAAUUGGAGUCAACGCCGG
rnacentral:rRNA from 1 species